CACGAAAUCGGGUGAGCUAAUUUGAUUAUAAAGUAUGUAGCAUAAUAUUUAUUGAAAUUGAAUUAGGAGUGAAAGGCCUCUCAAAAGCGAUGAUAUCUUGAAGUAAACAAAAAAAAUUGAGUUUUAAGAUGAUUACAAAGUUAUAAGAUUUUGUAAGAGUUUUAAUAUUUAUUAAUACCUAAUGUCGAUGUAAGAAUCUAUGUAAUUUUAUAAUAAUAUAAAAUUAAUAAAUUUAUUAAAUUAGUUUACGGUAGUAUAAUUUUCUUCAUAAUCAUUAUGUUAAUAUGAGUACUUAAAAGAUAUUUAUAGUGAACUCGGCAAUAAAGCUUUCAACUGUUUAUCAAAAACAUAGCCAUAUGAUUCUAUAUAUGGUGUGUUCUGCUCAAUGAUGGUUAAAUAGCCGCAGUACUCUGACUGUGCAAAGGUAGCGUAAUCAUUUGUCUUUUAAUUGAAGUCGUGUAUGAAUGAAUGCAUGGGGGCUUACUAUACCAUAAGUACAAUUCGAAAUUAUUUAAAAGGUGAAAAAACCUUUGCUUAAAAAAUAGACGAGAAGACCCUUGAAAUUUGUAGAAUAGUUUUGUUGGGGCAACAUAGUAAAUAAACCUACUUAAUGUAUAUGUAAUUUGUUUGAUUGAAAAAAUUACUCUAGGGAUAACAGCAUAAUUCUUAAUGAGUUUGUGACCUCGAUGUUGGAUUAGGGAACUAUAGCUUAAAA
rnacentral:rRNA from 1 species